rnacentral:rRNA from 1 species
CAGCAGUGGGGAAUAUUGGACAAUGGACCAAAAGUCUGAUCCAGCAAUUCUGUGUGCACGAUGAAGUUUUUCGGAAUGUAAAGUGCUUUCAGUUGGGAAGAAGUCAGUGACGGUACCAACAGAAGAAGCGACGGCUAAAUACGUGCCAGCAGCCGCGGUAAUACGUAUGUCGCAAGCGUUAUCCGGAUUUAUUGGGCGUAAAGCGCGUCUAGGCGGCUUAGUAAGUCUGAUGUGAAAAUGCGGGGCUCAACCCCGUAUUGCGUUGGAAACUGCUAAACUAGAGUACUGGAGAGGUAGGCGGAACUACAAGUGUAGAGGUGAAAUUCGUAGAUAUUUGUAGGAAUGCCGAUGGGGAAGCCAGCCUACUGGACAGAUACUGACGCUAAAGCGCGAAAGCGUGGGUAGCAAACAGGAUUAGA